ACACACACAGAGCGACGGGGACACUUUACCGGCGUGUUUGAACAAAACGAAAUGUCGAAUAAAAUGUCUUCACCUGCUCAGGUGUGUUAGCUGUCGGAGGGCGGCAGCUGGAGGCCUCUGUGGGUGUGUGGGAGUGUGUGCUGUGGACGUGGGGAUACUUCGUGUCUUCAGUGGACGCUUCACUCGCUCCAUAUCCAGGUUCCUGUCCAUGCAGUACCAGACAUGAAGACGAAGGGUCAAACACAGUACAGUUACAACGCAUCAGUUCAAACACCACCCUUUGCCAGUACUGUGACUAUAUAUACGUGUCUGAACUGACUGUUAUGUUUCCCUUAUUGGGUUUAAUCUGCGUGGCAACACUUUUCCAAGACGGCUGUUGGCAUGUGUGCAAAGUAGGCCGGGAGCUUUAAUGUGACAAGAUUUGUACGUUUAUACGCAGCCUUUCUGUGCCUAAGAAGACACAAAACGCUUAUACACACAAAGUAAGUGGAGAAGAGACACUAAAACGAAUUAAGAAGCCUUGUUGGCGUGACUUGGGGCCUUGUUGCUUUGGUAGUUUUAAGGAGACUGGUAGGGGUUUUUGCUGCCUUCACUGAGACUCACUUACACAAGCCUAAUCCUAAUUAUGUCGGUAAACAAAAUGAAGAUCCUCUCUUUGAAUAUCCCUCUUCUCAGUCCCAGAAGUGAGGGAUUGUGACUGGUCAGUUCACACGACUGUUUUAGUGUUUAAAAUUCUGAUCUGUUUGGAACCUAAAACCUGAAAAAUUACAAAGUGCAUCUCUAUUAUGUAGCUCCUACACAGGACGUAUACGGUUAUUAAGUCAAUCUUAACGAGUUGAAAUCUCAGGCAAGUAAAAAAAAUGAUACAAGAAUAAAGGAAUACUGUUUAACCUGUUAUAAAGUUUAUUUUUAAGUGUCAACUAUGUAAAAGUAUUGACAUAUGUUCUCUGUAAAUUAACAACAUAUUUCUACAUUUUUGUCAGUUUUAAUAAAGUAAGUUUUUUCUCA